GGCUUCUUAGUGUAAUGGUAACAUACCUCUUCUCCUUGUGGGGGAGAAGGAGACGGAGGUUCGAUUCCUUCAGAGGUCG